UCUCAGUUCGGAUUGGAGUCUGCAACCCGACUCCAUGAAGCUGGAUUCGCUAGUAAUCGCGCAUCAGCCACGGCGCGGUGAAUACGUUCCCGGGCCUUGUACACACCGCCCGUCAAGCCAUGGGAGGCCGGGGGUGCCUGAAGGCCGUGACCGCGAGGAGCGGCCUAGGGUAAAACUGGUGACUGGGGCUAAGUCGUAACAAGGUACC
rnacentral:rRNA from 1 species